rnacentral:misc_RNA from 1 species
AAGACUAUAGACCUGCGGAGUACCUGCGGAGGGAUCAUUAUCGAAUCCUUAAGGAUGUUGCUGGUCUCUCGGGACAUGUGCACUCCGCCUUUUCUAUACACCUGUGAACUUAUUGUAGGUGGCAUUACUUGCCACCUAUGUUUUUAUAACACACAUGUAUAUUGAAUGUCUAAAUAUGGCCUUUUUGGUCAGUAAACUUAAUACAACUUUCAACAACGGAUCUCUAGAUCGGAAGAGCAC